rnacentral:rRNA from 1 species
UGGGGAAUAUUGCGCAAUGGGCGAAAGCCUGACGCAGCGACGCCGCGUGAGGGAUGAAGGUUUUCGGAUCGUAAACCUCUGUCAGAAGGGAAGAAACCGCACUGUGCUAAUCAGCAGUGCCUUGACGGUACCUUCAAAGGAAGCACCGGCUAACUCCGUGCCAGCAGCCGCGGUAAUACGGAGGGUGCAAGCGUUAAUCGGAAUUACUGGGCGUAAAGCGCACGUAGGCUGCUUUGUAAGUCAGGGGUGAAAUCCCACGGCUCAACCGAGGAACUGCCUUUGAUACUGCUUAGCUUGAAUCCGGGAGAGGGUGGCGGAAUUCCAGGUGUAGGAGUGAAAUCCGUAGAUAUCUGGAGGAACAUCAGUGGCGAAGGCGGCCACCUGGACCGGUAUUGACGCUGAGGUGCGAAAGCGUGGGGAGCAAACAGG